rnacentral:rRNA from 1 species
GGUAUGGGAUGAGCUUGCGUCCGAUUAGCUAGUUGGCGGGGCAACGGCCCACCAAGGCGACGAUCGGUAGCCGGCCUGAGAGGGCGAUCGGCCACAUUGGGACUGAGAUACGGCCCAGACUCCUACGGGAGGCAGCAGUAGGGAAUAUUGCACAAUGGGGGAAACCCUGAUGCAGCAACGCCACGUGUGGGAAGAAGCAUUUCGGUGUGUAAACCACUGUCGUGAGGGAAUAAGGCAUUGUUUCGGCGAUGUUGAAUGUACCUCGAAAGGAAGCACCGGCAAACAUCGUACCAGCAGCCGCGGUAAUACGAGGGGUGCAAGCGUUGUUCGGAAUCACUGGGCGUAAAGGGAGCGUAGGCGGAGAUGCAAGCAGUCUGUACAAUACCGGGGCCCAACCCCGGACCUGCAGACUGGACUGUGUCUCUUGGAUAGUUCAGGGGCAGGC